GACGAACGCUGGCGGCGUGCUUAACACAUGCAAGUCGAACGGAAAGGCCCUGCUUUUGUGGGGUUCUCGAGUGGCGAACGUGUGAGUAACACGUGAGUAACCUGCCCUUGACUUUGGGAUAACUUCAGGAAACUGGGGCUAAUACCGGAUAUGAUCUCCUGCUGCAUGGUGGGGGUUGGAGAGUUUCGGCGGUUGGGGAUGGACUCGCGGCUUAUCAGCUUGUUGGUGGGGUAGUGGCUUACCAAGGCUUUGACGGGUAGCCGGCCUGAGAGGGUGACCGGCGACAUUGGGACUGAGAGACGGACCAGACUCCUACGGGAGGCAGCAGUGGGGAAUAUUGCACAAUGGGCGGAAGCCUGAUGCAGAAACGCCGCGUGCGGGAUGACGGCUUUCGGGUUGUAAACCGCUUUCGACUGUGACGAAGAGUGAGUGACGGUAAUGGGUAAAGAAGCAACGGCUAACUACGUG
rnacentral:rRNA from 1 species